GCGGCUCAACGCGGGAACAAGGCCUCGCUCCACACGGCCGCGGAGCACUCUGGGAACCCAGCGGCUGGGAAGACGACGAGGGGGGAGAGGGACGCCUCCUCCCGCCGCCGGCGUGACGGACGGCGCAGCCAGGCCAAUCGGAGGCGGCCGCCGCUCCUGGGACACCAAUCGCGGCCUCUGGAGGCAAGCGACCAGUCGGAGUGCCGCGAGAGGCAGUGGGCGGGAGGCGCCGCGUGACCGACAGCUCUCGGAGGCAGUGGGCUUCGGGCUGCCGGUGCUGGGCGGGCAAAUCGAGGCGACCCGAGAGGGCAGGAGGCCCAAUGAAGCGGGAGUUCCAGAACUACGGGGCGACUUCAGAACUGGAUUGACGACUCCGGAGAGUCAAGUGGACAGGAAGGAGGGGCCUGCCGAAAGGCCCCUUUGAACAGGCUGGGCGGGCGCCAGGUUGUCUCCACGUCCACCAUUUCACCCUGAAGCCAGGACAAGCCACAACGAGCCAAACGGGAGUCCAAACUAGUCCCUGGCUGCACCCUCGGGAAGGAUCCCCAGGGAUCUUCUGACCCAGGCCCCCAGACUGCUUCUCCUGACAAAAACUGCCCCCCUGGGCCUGAGCCUGGAGGGCUCUUUGGGCCAGGGGACCCUGGAUCCUCCUGUCCAUUCUGCCCAGGGUGGGUCGACUGGCCACUGCCUAUACACCCAGGGUUUUCUUCAUGGCUUCAUACACCACGUAGCUGAUGCCACCUGCUGGCAACACCUUCAGUAAGGUGGGAGUCAUGCCUCUGUACAGCCCCGGCCAACCCUGCUGGGCCAGGAUCCGCUGGAAGACUCCGCGCAUGGUGGGGUUUGAGCCCUCCACAGUGUCUGUGGGCACAGGGGCAAGCUCAGGGCUUCUGCCAGAGAUGAUCGGGCCACCCCGGGGCGGGGGCGGGCUGGAAUGUUGGGGGUCGGGUGAAGCCAGGGGCUGGGGUCUGGGGGCCAGCGUUGGGAAGGAGUUUGGAAGACUUAGAGGAAAUUGGUCAGUUUGGGGAGAGAGAUCAACUCGGGCAGGAGUUUUCAGGAUUUGUUUUCAGGAACAUCUUAGAAAACAUUCACGCUUAUUUGGGAGGGAACUUCUAAGAUCUGCCAGAGAUUUGGGAAGUGUGCUAAGGGAUGGUUUGGGGAUAUUUUCAAGAUUAGGGUAGUGGACCAAGGACUUGUUUGGAUGUUUGUGGAUUGGUUUAGGGGCUGAAAGUCCAUUUGGGGAGUAUACAGGGUAGUGGAGGAAGUGGUUAUGACAUUGGGAUGUCUAAGGGUCAGGUUUAGCGAAUUUAGGAAUUUUAGGAAUAUGGGCUGCGUCAGAUUUGGAGAAGUUGGGAGAGCAUUUGGGGAAUCUAUGUCUUGAAAUAUGGUGUGGGGGCCUGAGUUGCAUUUGGGGGGUGUUUGUGGGGGUCAGUUGGGAGAUGUUCAUUUCAGUGGUUUGUAGGGUUAAUUUGGGGUUGGGGUCAGAUUUAGGGGUGAGUCUUGGUAGGUUUAGAGGUCAGUUUGGGAGUCACUUUUGGGGGAUGAGAAAGUUCAGUCAAGGCUAAGGGGAGGGGCAUGCACGGUGGCCACUGGGGCUAGUCUGACCUUGGGCCUGCAUCCUGGUGCGCACCAAUGUCAGCGGGUAACUGGCCAUCUGGCCACAGGUCGUGGACAGCGUCACAGAUGACAAACUGACCAGGCCACUGGGAUCCUCCAUGUCCCUGCCUGACUUCAACCAGAAGCACCUGAGCAUCUGCAAGAGAAGGGGGUCAGGAGGCAGUUUACUACGGGCCUGUGUUCACACCAGCCCUGGCACCCCUCUGUGGGACCUGCACCUCAUAGACGGCCAGUUCCGUGCAGGCGUAGGGGAUGAUGCCGAGCAUGUUGGGCAGGUAGCCGCGGUACAGGGCGCGGGUGCCCUCCUGCUCCAGGAUCUGCCACGCACAGUCCAGCAGCCCCUUGUACUGGCCUGUCCGGCGCAGGGUCAGCCGCGUCUUCAGCACCUGGGGAGGGCAAGGAGGGAGGUGGCUCAUCUGAUCGAAUGCUCUCAUCAACCCUCAUCGACUAGCCCCCAGUGGCCACCCUGCAUGCCCCUUUCUUGACCCUUAGUGGCGGCUGGCAUUUCCGUCCUACAGCUGAGGAGGUGGAAGCUCAGGAGUGCAGAGAGCUGAGUUUCCAACCCAGAGCCGUGCGAUUCCUUGGCCUAUGUGUGCUUUCAACCCAGGGUUCAGAAGCCCAAGUGCUGACAGAGGCCAAGAGGAUAAGGGAAGUGGCGUGGACUGAGCGGAGUCACAGCUUACACCCAGCGGCAGCCAGACAUCAUGCCAUGGGGGUGCAGACCCCAUGGGGUGGCCAGGUUUGCCAAUUUUCCAAGAGAAGCCAGACAUAGUCAUUUGUACAAAAUACCCCAAUAUCAAAAUAUUGGCAGCUCUACAAUUACCCAAAAAACUGAACACCCAGUGCGGUAGGCAGAUUUCUAAGGUGGUCCCCAAGUUUCCCACCCCUGAUACGUAUGCUCCAUAUGAUGCCCACCUCCCCUCCCACCCUGACCUUGACAGUGUGCUAGGCCUGGGACUAUGAUUGGGUAUCACUCCCCUUGUCAAGUUACAUGACAUGAAGUUACAUUUCAUGAAAGUGAAGGGAUUUUGCAGAUGUAUCGGGGCCUUAAGCAAUUAGUUUUAAGUGAAGCAAGACCAAUUGUCCUGGGUGGGCCUGACCGAAUCAGGUGAGCCCUUUAAUAAAAGAGUCUGUUGCCAGAGACGGAAGAAAUCAGAGCGAUUGGGAGUAUCCAGGACACUCUUCAGUUGGUCUUAAACAAGCUGACUGUUGUGGAGAGGACUACAUGGCAGGGACAGUGGGUGGCCUCUAGGAGCUGAGGACCUCAGUCCUACAACUAUAAACUGAAUCCUGCUAACAACCAAGGAACUUGACAGAGGACCCAGGCCUCUGGUGGAUUCACUGUAGCCCAGCCAACACCUUGAUUUUGGCCUGAUGAAACCCUGAGCAGAGGACCUGACUAGCCAGUGCCCAGGCGUGACCCACAGACAAACAAAAGAUAAUAAAUCUGUAUCCUUUUAA